rnacentral:rRNA from 1 species
GAAUUCACUAGUGAUUCAGGCCUAACACAUGCAAGUCGAACGGCAGCACGGGUGCUUGCACCUGGUGGCGAGUGGCGAACGGGUGAGUAAUAUAUCGGAACGUACCUUAUCGUGGGGGAUAACGCAGCGAAAGCUGUGCUAAUACCGCAUAAGCCCUAAGGGGGAAAGCAGGGGACCGUAAGGCCUUGCGCGAUUAGAGCGGCCGAUACCUGAUUAGCUAGUUGGUGAGGUAAAGGCUCACCAAGGCAACGAUCAGUAGCUGGUCUGAGAGGACGAUCAGCCACACUGGGACUGAGACACGGCCCAGACUCCUACGGGAGGCAGCAGUGGGGAAUUUUGGACAAUGGGGGCAACCCUGAUCCAGAAAGGCCGCGUGAGUGAAGAAGGCCUUCGGG